rnacentral:rRNA from 1 species
GCAUAACGCGAAGAACCUUACCAGGUCUUGACAUCCCAUUGACCGGUCCGUAACGGGACCUUCCCGUUCGGGGCAAUGGAGACAGGUGGUGCAUGGUUGUCGUCAGCUCGUGUCGUGAGAUGUUGGGUUAAGUCCCGCAACGAGCGCAACCCUAUCCUAUGUUGCCAGCACGUUAUGGUGGGAACUCAGUGGGAGACUGCCGCAGACAAUGCGGAGGAAGGGUGGGGAUGACGUACAAGUCAUCAGUCGGUCCUUUAUCGUCCGAGGGCUACACACGUGCUACAAUGGACGGUAACAAGCGCCGACAACCCGCGAGGGGGAGCAAAUCGCAAAAAACCGUUCUCAGUUCGGAUUGCAGGCUGCAACCCGCCUGCAUGAAGCUGGAAUCGCUAGUAAUGGCGUAUCAGAAUGACGCCGUGAAUACGUUCCCGGGUCUUGUACACACCG